GCCAGCACGGUUGGGCAUGCCUGUAGUCCCAGCUAUUCACAAGGCUGAGGUGGGAGGAUCAAUUGAGCCCAGGAGUUCUGGGCUGUAGUGCGCUAAUGCCGAUUGGGUGUCUGCACUAAGUUGGGCAUCAAUAUGGUGGCCUCCCAGGAGUGGGAGACCACCAGGUUGCCUAAGGAGGGGUGAACCUGCCCAGGUUGGAAACAGAGCAGGUCAAACUCCCAUGCUGUUCAUUGUGGGAUUGCACCUGUGAAUAGCCACUGCACUCCAGCCUGGGCGACAUAGCAAGACCCCAUCUCU
rnacentral:SRP_RNA from 1 species